GACGAACGCUGGCGGCGUGCUUAACACAUGCAAGUCGAACGGUAAGGCCCUUCGGGGUACACGAGUGGCGAACGGGUGAGUAACACGUGGGUGAUCUGCCCUGCACUUCGGGAUAAGCCUGGGAAACUGGGUCUAAUACCGGAUAGGACCACUGCCUGCAUGGGUGGUGGUGGAAAGCUUUUGCGGUGUGGGAUGGGCCCGCGGCCUAUCGGCUUGGUGGUGGGGUGAUGGCCUACCAAGGCGACGACGGGUAGCCGGCCUGAGAGGGGGACCGGGCACCAUGGGACUGGGAGUCGGAGCAGACUCCUACGGGAAGCGGUGGUAGGGAAUAUUGACCAAUGGUCGCAAGCCUGAUGCAGCGACGCGGCGUGAGGGAUGACGGCCUUCGGGUUGUAAACCUCUUUCAGCACCGACGAAGCGCAAGUGACGGUAGGUGCAGAAGAAGGACCGGCCAACUACGUGCCAGCCGCCGCCGUAA
rnacentral:rRNA from 1 species